CCAAUAGCGUAUAUUAAAGUUGUUGCAGUUAAAAAGCUCGUAGUUGAAUUUCGGGGUUAGUAGAUUGGUCAUGCCUCCGGUAUGCACUGGUCUUACUGAUUCCUCCUUCCUGAUGAACCGUAAUGCCAUUAAUUUGGUGUUGCGGGGAAACUGGACUGUUACUUUGAAAAAAUUAGAGUGUUUAAAGCAGGCUAACGCUUGAAUACAUUAGCAUGGAAUAAUGAAAUAGGACGUUCGAUCUUAUUUUGUUGGUUUCUAGGAUUGACGUAAUGAUUAAUAGGGAUAGUUGGGGGCAUUAGUAUUCAAUUGUCAGAGGUGAAAUUCUUGGAUUUAUUGAAGACUAACUACUGCGAAAGCAUUUGCCAAGGAUGUUUUCAUUAAUCAAGAACGAAAGUUAGGGGAUCGAAGACGAUCAGAUACCGUCGUAGUCUUAACCAUAAACUAUGCCGACUAGGGAUCGGAUGAUGUUAAUUUUUUAAUGACUCAUUCGGCGCCUUACG
rnacentral:rRNA from 1 species